rnacentral:rRNA from 1 species
GAUGAACGCUGGCGGCGUGCUUAACACAUGCAAGUCGAACGGAAAGGCCCAAGCUUGCUUGGGUACUCGAGUGGCGAACGGGUGAGUAACACGUGGGUGAUCUGCCCUGCACUUCGGGAUAAGCCUGGGAAACUGGGUCUAAUACCGGAUAGGACGAUGGUUUGGAUGCCAUUGUGGAAAGUUUUUUCGGUGUGGGAUGAGCUCGCGGCCUAUCAGCUUGUUGGUGGGGUAAUGGCCUACCAAGGCGUCGACGGGUAGCCGGCCUGAGAGGGUGUACGGCCACAUUGGGACUGAGAUACGGCCCAGACUCCUACGGGAGGCAGCAAUGGGGAAUAUUGCACAAUGGGGGCAAGCCUGAUGCAGCGACGCCGCGUGGGGGAUGACGGCCUUCGGGUUGUAAACUCCUGUCGCUAGGGACGAAGCGUUUUUGUGACGGUACCUGGAGAAGAAGCACCGGCUAACUACGUG